rnacentral:rRNA from 1 species
UGGGGAAUAUUGCACAAUGGGCGCAAGCCUGAUGCAGCCAUGCCGCGUGUGUGAAGAAGGCCUUCGGGUUGUAAAGCACUUUCAGCGGGGAGGAAGGCGAUAAGGUUAAUAACCUCAUCGAUUGACGUUACCCGCAGAAGAAGCACCGGCUAACUCCGUGCCAGCAGCCGCGGUAAUACGGAGGGUGCAAGCGUUAAUCGGAAUUACUGGGCGUAAAGCGCACGCAGGCGGUCUGUCAAGUCGGAUGUGAAAUCCCCGGGCUCAACCUGGGAACUGCAUUCGAAACUGGCAGGGUAGAGUCUUGUAGAGGGGGGUAGAAUUCCAGGUGUAGCGGUGAAAUGCGUAGAGAUCUGGAGGAAUACCGGUGGCGAAGGCGGCCCCCUGGACAAAGACUGACGCUCAGGUGCGAAAGCGUGGGGAGCAAACAGG